CUCGACAUACUCCACCACUUCGGCAAAACCAUGGGCCUGCGCGUCAACCUUGCUAAAUCCUCGGCGGUUCCGAUCAAAUGAGGUGACAUCGACCUCACCGCAGUCCUGCACAACUUUGGAGGGGUGGUGGCAUCACUGCCAAUCACAUAUUUAGGUCUCCCCGUCACCACCGGCAGGGUUAGAUUAGUUAAUCUUCAGUUCAUCCUAGAUAGGAUCCGUGCGCGCCUGGCUGGUUGGAAGGGGAGAUUGAUGCAUAUCGCCGUUCGUAGGGUCUUG
rnacentral:rRNA from 1 species